GUCCACGCCGUAAACGAUGAGCACUAGGUGUCGCGGGUAUUGACCCCUGCGGUGCCGAAGCUAACGCAUUAAGUGCUCCGCCUGGGGACUACGGCCGCAAGGUUAAAACUCAAAGGAAUUGACGGGGGCCCCGCACAAGCGGUGGAGCAUGUGGUUCAAUUCGACGCAACGCGAAGAACCUUACCUGGGCUAGACAACGGAGGCCCGCCCCAGAGAUGGGGUUUUCCCUUCGGGGACUUCCGGUUCAGGUGCUGCAUGGCUGUCGU
rnacentral:rRNA from 1 species